AGUGAACGCUGGCGGUAGGCCUAACACAUGCAAGUCGAACGGCAGCACAGUAAGAGCUUGCUCUUACGGUGGCGAGUGGCGGACGGGUGAGGAAUACAUCGGAAUCUACUUUUUCGUGGGGGAUAACGUAGGGAAACUUACGCUAAUACCGCAUACGACCUACGGGUGAAAGCAGGGGAUCUUCGGACCUUGCGCGAUUGAAUGAGCCGAUGUCGGAUUAGCUAGUUGGCGGGGUAAAGGCCCACCAAGGCGACGAUCCGUAGCUGGUCUGAGAGGAUGAUCAGCCACACUGGAACUGAGACACGGUCCAGACUCCUACGGGAGGCAGCAGUGGGGAAUAUUGGACAAUGGGCGAAAGCCUGAUCCAGCCAUACCGCGUGGGUGAAGAAGGCCUUCGGGUUGUAAAGCCCUUUUGUUGGGAAAGAAAAGCAGCAGGUUAAUACCCCGCUGUUCCGACGGUACCCAAAGAAUAAGCACCGGCUAACUUCGUG
rnacentral:rRNA from 1 species